UUAUUUCAUCAUUUUCUGGUUUACCCUUUCUGUGUUUGUUUUCCUUUUUCAUACAUAUAUAGAUACAUUUUUCUCAUUUUCUCUUCUUUCUUACACAAAUAAUCAAAUACUAUUACUUCUCUUUUCAUUUUGCUUUUCUACCUGUUAGGAAUCACCUUUACACACUGAAUUGAAAUCUGACUCCGAGAAACUUCAAAAUUCAGGCCCUUCAUGGCCACAAAGAAUCAAUGUGAAGAAGAUAUCAGAGGUCAAGAGAAAGACAAGAAAUGCUA
rnacentral:lncRNA from 1 species